UCAAAUACGUACACAAGCUGUUAUUAUAGAAAGGUAUAAGGAUGCUUUCUUAAUCAGCAAAGAAAACCUCCAGUAUGGGGAUAAACCUCUACACACAAGAUUUUUCUUGAAUUCGAGGAUAAUGAUGUUAUUAUCAGCUGAUUAAGGAGGAGUAGUGUAAGUGUCAGAUGGGUACGAACGUCAUCUUGUGACAGCAUCACCUUUGUUUGGCUAAAGUACAAGAGAACUGCAGCAUAUAAGACUACAUGUACAUCGACUUUGAAUAAUCUACCCGGUAUAUCCUCAAAAAGGCAACUCAAAUACAGAAAGUGCAUAUAAUUUGGAAAAGAGACCAUCAAUCCACUGGGGGGUAUCACAUGAAAGCAAUGAUUAUAGAAUAUUGUAAGGCUAGAGGAGUUAUAGUACAACAGGCAGGCGAGUAAUG